GACGAACGCUGGCGGCGUGCCUAAUACAUGCAAGUCGAACGCUUCUGCUUUGACUGAUGCUUGCAUCGACUAAAGUUGGAAGAGUGGCGAACGGGUGAGUAACACGUGGGUAACCUGCCCAUCAGACUGGGAUAACUUCGGGAAACCGGAGCUAAUACCGGAUAAUUCUUUUCCUCUCAUGAGGAAAAGCUGAAAGACGGUUCUGCUGUCACUUAUAGAUGGGCACGCGGCGCAUUAGCUAGUUGGUGAGGUAACGGCUCACCAAGGCGACGAUGCGUAGCCGACCUGAGAGGGUGAUCGGCCACACUGGGACUGAGACACGGCCCAGACUCCUACGGGAGGCAGCAGUAGGGAAUCUUCCGCAAUGGACGAAAGUCUGACGGAGCAACGCCGCGUGAGUGAUGUAGGUUUUCGGAUCGUAAAACUCUGUUGUUAGGGAAGAAUAAGUACCAGUUAACUGCUGGUACCUUGACGGUACCUAACCAGAAAGCCACGGCUAACUACGUGCCAGCCGCCGCUGUAACAC
rnacentral:rRNA from 1 species